UUUUGAGGUUAUAUACAGUACACGCGGAUAUGAAAUGUUUUUUUUUUUUUUCAACAAAAAAACGGAAGAGACCUCGGUAAUAAUCAAAGCUGUUCGUCCGAACGGUCUGAAAGGGAAUCCCGUACUGACAGACAUAAGUUUUUACAGCGAAAUUUGGUAGUCCUCUCUGUGCUACAGGCAAUGAAUGAAGCUUGCUCCGAGUAGCGAAGCAGGUUGGUAACGGCGUCGCUGAGGAAGUCCCUUUGUGAAUUUAUGAUUUGACUUAUGAAGAUUUGGAAGGACUAAUGUAUGGUGCAGGAAUAGCAGAUUAAAGUAUCAAUUUUGUGGACUCCAUCUUGCACAGCAAUCAUAAACUCAGACGGCACAGCUCCAGAUUUAAUGGCUGCUAACUAGGAAUGUUUUUAUUAAAAAUGAUUAAAAAAAUUGUGAGACACAGAUAAAUAUAUGUGCAACAUAAUGUCA